GACGAACCGUACAAACGUUAUUCGGAAUCACUGGGCUUAAAGGGUGCGUAGGCGGCUUUGCAAGUCGGGUGUGAAAGCCCUCGGCUCAACCGAGGAAUUGCGCCCGAAACUGCCGAGCUUGAGGGACACAGAGGUAAGCGGAACUAAGGGUGGAGCGGUGAAAUGCGUUGAUAUCCUUAGGAACACCAGGAGCGAAAGCGGCUUACUGGGUGUCUUCUGACGCUGAGGCACGAAAGCCAGGGGAGCGAAC
rnacentral:rRNA from 1 species